UACGGGGGGGGGCAAGCGUUGUUCGGAAUUACUGGGCGUAAAGGGCUCGUAGGCGGCCAACUAAGUCGGACGUGAAAUCCCCAGGCUCAACCUGGGAACUGCGUCCGAUACUGGAUGGCUUGAAUCCGGGAGAGGGAUGCAGAAUUCCAGGUGUAGCGGUGAAAUGCGUAGAUAUCUGGAGGAAUACCGGUGGCGAAGGCGG
rnacentral:rRNA from 1 species